rnacentral:misc_RNA from 1 species
GAAGUGCGAAAAGUGUCAUGACUUGCAGAUUCCCGAGAGCUGACAAAUCUCUGAAUGCAAAUGGCGGUCGGAUAAAAACGACCAUGUAUUGUAGAGUGUAGAUGCUCCAGCACAUCAUCACGUAUCAUCUUGCUUCACGGCGAGAACGUGGAUCUGCGCUAGCGGUUAGAUCGCGAGCGUGAAAUGGAGAGGAGAGUAUGUGGUGCUCGUGUGAACACACAGCCAUUGCAUACUUGGAUAUGGUAUACCUUAUCUGAGUUUGUUCUUGUUGCUAUGUGGAUGCGCGUGCAAUAUCCGCUGUUCUUCAACAAUAUCUUAGUAUAUUUAAAUAUAUCUAUGAGCCACCUCUACAAUGCAGGAUAACCCGCUGAACUUAA